rnacentral:rRNA from 1 species
UNACGAAAGUGGAUUGUACUAGAAGUCUGCGCGCUAACCCGCAAGGGAGGCAGCGGCCCAAGGUAUGAUUCAUGAUUGGGGUG